UACGUAGGGUCCGAGCGUUGUCCGGAAUUAUUGGGCGUAAAGGGCUCGUAGGCGGUUCGUCGCGUCGGGAGUGAAAACUCGGAGCUCAACUCCGAGCCUGCUUCCGAUACGGCAGACUAGAGGUAGGUAGGGGAGAAUGGAAUUCCGGUGUAGCGGUGAAAUGCGCAGAUAUCGGGAGGAACACCGGUGGCGAAGGCGGUUCUCUGGGCAUUACCCUGACGCUGAGGAGCGAAAGUGUGGGGAGCGAACAGGAUUAGAACCCG
rnacentral:rRNA from 1 species